AAAAGGAAGGCAGCUCGAGUCAACGAUCGUGUGCAUCAACAAGUUGUAACCUCCCAAG
rnacentral:tRNA from 1 species